rnacentral:pre_miRNA from 7 species
CUCUUGUGGCCCAUGAAAUCAAGCUUGGGUGAGACCUGGUGCAGAACAGGAAGGCGACCCAUACUUGGUUUCAGUGGCUGCAAGAA